UACAGAGGGUGCAAGCGUUGCUCGGAAUUAUUGGGCGUAAAGAGGACGUAGGUGGUCUGCUUUGUCUGGGGUGAAAGCCUUGAGCUUAACUCAAGAAGGGCCUCAGAAACGGUCAGACUGGAGUCUUAAAGAGGGUCGUGGAAUUCCUGGUGUAGCGGUGAAAUGCGCAGAUAUCUGGAGGAACACCGGUGGCGAAGGCGGCAUCCUGGACCGGCAUUGACGCUGAGGAGCGAAAGCCAGGGGAGCAAACGGG
rnacentral:rRNA from 1 species